UAAAAGUGGAGUUCAGAAACCACUAUAAAAACGGGGUGAAAUCCGAAAAGCCUUAUGAGUAGGAACUAC
rfam:Flavobacterium sp. LM4 Flavobacterium_sp_LM4_contig2, whole genome shotgun sequence.